CACCAGCCAAGCAGCUACCUACUUCUGGUUGUCAGCCUGCAAGUUGUUCCAGGGGAUGGUCCAGGGCACCGGACUUAUCGAAAGAAAAUGUCGCCCUCGACAAAACAACAUCAUCAGUAGUUUCUAUUACUCAUCAUCCAACGCUAUUGUCAACGGAGACAUGAGAGGAAUGAUGAAACCAGAUGUUUUCAUUCUGCUUUCAAUGACGACAAUAUAGCAUCUGCCCUGGUGGAGAAUUGGAUCUUGGAAAGGACACAAUGGUACAUGACGUCAUCAUCUACUUCAGGACGGAUUAUAAAGUUCGUCGGAAUGGUAUCCAGAUCUACAUAGCUGACUGCCGCCUCCCCAACUGGUGGAGUCAACUGCUACAACGUGAUAGGG